CUGUCACCGGCCGGUCCCCCCGGCCGUCCCCGCCCGCCUCCCCCUGUCUCUUUCCAUCUCCCGGUCUCCGCGGCGUUUCUCUGCCUCCUUCCUCGCCUCUCCCGGCCUCUCUGGCUGUCCCCGGCUCUCUUCCUCACUGCCUCUCUCUUUUUCUCUUACCCCUCUCUCCUCGGCUGCUCUCACCACUUCCUCCCUCCCUCUCCGGCUUCCUUCUACCUCCCCUCACUCUCCCCCCUUUCUCGCCUUGCUCAGGGGGACUCGCUAUCUCUUUCUCUGUCUCUCCUUGGAACAGCGGCCCCCAAAAUGCAACUGAAGCCAUUUCCCUGCUCUGAGACCUCGGACAAGUCACUCCCCGCCAGGGCUGCAGUUUCCUGUCUCUAAAAGGAGUUGAUGAGCAGCUCUAGGUGGGGUGGCGAUGGGGGACGCAGGAGGUGCCCCGUGCCUGUGGUCCCCUGUUGAAGUUCACGCCUCCUCAAAUGCAGCGGCCACCCAGCGCUCGCUGGGUGCCAUGUGUGCCCCACAAAACACCUUUCCUCAGCCUCGAGGACAAGUACCAGAGGCCAGUUCCGCGGGAAAAGUUAAUGGUGGUUUCCUCCAGGGUCCCUAAAGCCCCUCCUGAAAAGUGACUGUGGUUCCCCUCCCCCUGUCCUCAGGUUUUGAGUGGGCACAACCUAAGCUGGAUCUGAUAGGCCCUGUCACCUGCUGGUUCCUCCCUGGUUGACACCAAGCAGAGGGGCAAUGCUCUCUCGCUGUCCUUAGACCCAAGCAGGAGAAAAAUCUACCCUCCCUCCUUCCCUCCCCAUUCCCCAUCACACCAUGAUUGGCUUUUAAGCUUCAGGGAUGUUUCCCGGACCGAGUGUGGCUUCAGAGUCAGAGAGAUGUGAGUUCAAGACCACUUGCUUAGGAGGAAGCAAAAGAGGAGGAGAAGGCAGAGGAAGGCGACGACUGAGAACAAAAGAAGAGCAGUGGCAAAGGAGUGAGCUCCAUGAGUGGCUUUUGUGGACAAGAUGCGACCACCUCAUGAGGAUCAAGAUGUACUCCUUGCUCUUCUCUGCACAGCAGUCUCAAAACUAGGCUACACCGUCUGUCUCCUCUGGUCACCAUUUUGAGAGGCAGCAAGGGUCUUCCUAACCCUCAGCUCCCUCUGAUUUUUGGAAUUCAGAUUUGGAUUUUGGAUGUACAUCAAGAGGCUGGCUCCACGCAUUUUAAUUAAGUUGUCUUUUUUCAUUUAUUACUAAUACACUCCUCUUAACUAUGAUUUAUUGGUUAAACAAAGCACCAUAAGCCGUCACUUAUUCAUCUUAAUUUCAACAAAAUUAAAGUAGUCGCUGUUAGAUUGCACCUAAUUGCACUUGCAAUGAAAAGAACGGAGAUGUUAAUCAAAAUAAAUUGAAGAUAAACAAUAAAAUCAUUACAUCUUUGCGGU
rnacentral:lncRNA from 10 species